AUCUUCUUAGUAUAAUUAGUACUACUGACUUCCAAUCAGUAAGAUCUGUAACAGCAACGGAAGAAGAUA
rnacentral:tRNA from 1 species